rnacentral:snRNA from 1 species
GUGCUCGCCUCGGCAGCACAUAUACUAAAGAUCAGAAUGAUACGAAGCAGUAUUACAUUGCCCCUGCGCAACGAUAACAUGCAAAUUCGUGAAGUGGUCCAUAUUUUG